GUAUCCUAACCGUGCGAAGGUAGCGUAAUCACUUGUCCUUUAAAUGAGGACUAGUAUGAACGGUUUCACGAAGGCUGCACUGUCUCCUUUUUCUAAUCAGUAAAACUAAUCUUCCCGUGAAGAAGCGGGAAUCUUCCUAUAAGACGAGAAGACCCUAUGGAGCUUUAAACAAUUGAUACAUUUGCAUCUUAAACCUCACUUUUUAUUUAACCAAGCAUUUUGUUUCUAGUUUUAGGUUGGGGUGACCACGGAGAAAAACCUAUCCUCCAUGUCGAAAGAAAUUCUAUUUCUUAGCAAAAAGCCACAUCUUUAUGCAUCAACAAAUUGACCUUAAUUGACCCAAUAAUUUGAUCAACGAACCAAGUUACCCUAGGGAUAACAGCGCAAUCCACUUCAAGAGCUCUUAUCGACAAGUGGGUUUACGACCUCGAU
rnacentral:rRNA from 1 species